rnacentral:rRNA from 1 species
UNGACUGUUUAUCAAAAACAUAACUACAGGUUAUUUUCUGUAGCGAUUUCUGCUCAANGUUAAAAUAAAUAGCCGCAGUACCCUGACUGUGCUAAGGUAGCAUAAUCAAUAGGCUUGUAAUUUAAGUCUUGUAUGAAGGAAAAUUUGGAAGUUAACUGUCUCAAGCGAAGAUAUUUAAAUUUUUUAUAAAGUGCAAAAACUUUAAGAUAAAUAUUAGACGAGAAGACCCUAGAAAUUUUUUAAAUAUUUUGUUGGGGCGACAAAGUUACAAUUAACUAACUAAUAUUAAUUGGAAGCCUUAUUGGCUGUAUAAUUAAAUUACUCUAGGGAUAACAGCAUAAUUUAAAAAAGUUUGUGACCUCGAUGUUGGACUAGGUUUUAUUAAGUUUAGAAGAUUUAAGUUAUAGCUCUGUUCGAGCAUUAUUUACCUACNUGAUCUGGAUUCAGACCGGA